AUUGAUUUAUAGCUAUUAGAGACUAUAAUUAGCCAACCAGCUGGGAAGCUGUGUGUUAUCUGCCCGGUGGGAGCAGCCUUGAGAAGCAGUCAUCUCUGAGGGGCUGCCCCAUCCCUGCGAGCAGCGCCGCUUGGUUGCAUCUUUGGAGGAUUUUACUCCACACUUUUUGCUUUCCCUUUUAUCUCCUCUUUUGCUGACAUCUGGCAUCCGCGAGCUCACCUCAAGCCUCCCUCUUCUCCCUUAUCUCCUCCCGCGUUCCUGCAAGGUCACAAACUCGCCUUCACGCUCCCCCUGUCCACGCAGGAGUUUCCGAUGCUGGGCUGACCAGCUUGGACCAGGUUGUUAUCAAAGCGUUCCCAGCCAGCAGCAAAGCCUCCCACUGCUGUCAGCGCCUAACACAAGGCAGAUGUUACAUGAAAGUGCUGGAGGGGCUGGGUGAGAUGUCCGUACCUUGUACUUACAACUUCCUGGGAGUGCUGCUUCCAUAGGAAUGCAGGGAAAUAAGGAGGAGGGGACGCUGGAGGUGCCUGGCAGAGGCACCCAGUGCCUGGCUGCUCCAGGAGGCCUGGCCAUGCGUCGGACCAACACUGGGCUCCAUCCCUAGGGCUGCUGCCAGCGUUAGGAGGUGACCGGACACCGCAGCAGCUCCAGCAGCACGUUGGCCACCGGCCACCCUGGUGCUGGAGCCACCGUGCCGCAGGAGCAGCUCCUCGUUGGCAAAGCAGGGUGCUGAUCCCUCCAGGGCCCUUCUCCUCGCUGGGACCGCGGCCAGGAGGAGCUUUUGUCAGGAUGUUCUCACCGAUGGGCUGCAGGAGAGGCUUCCCCAGGCCGGUAGGUGGGUUUGUGACCCUCCUGCUGCCACGCAGCUCGGGCUGCCAGGGCGGUGGGAGAGGGGGAGCUUUGGGGGCAAGGAGGAUGCUCCAUCGCUUCGGAUGCUGAGGAGGCAGGAGAGCAUCACUGAUGUAUGGGGAAGAAUUGGGAAUCAUCUGCAGCCUCAUCCGGGGGAGGAGGAUGGAUGGGCUCCU
rnacentral:lncRNA from 1 species